UUCAAAUCUCCCGCUCUCCUAGUUCCUUUACUUCCGGGCUCAAUUGCCUCGACUUCCGCUCCCUGGUUGGAACUGUCACGUGGUUGAAUGACGUGAGCAGAGCUAUAAAGAGGCAGCGCGCUGUUCCCAGGCACCACUGAAUCAUGCUGACUUUCAUCAGGCACAUGUGUAGGAGUUAUAGCAGGUUAUGGAGAGGAGCUCCUCCAUCACUUUUUAAGCUCACAGCAGAGCCUCCAGGUGAAGCCGACCAGUUGGUGUUGCACGUUCCUGUAAUGGUGAAUGAAGUUAUUGAGUUAUUGGCACCUCAAGAAGGACAAAAGUGGGAGCAAAUAAGAUUUUCCAGCGUGGUUUUGAUGAUCCGCAGUCAGAAGGUGCCGUGCUUCUUAUUUUCACUUCAAUACCAGAAAUGCAUUGGAGAUUUUUUUUUUUUUCUUGGAUUGUUCCAAGCUAUAACUAGUUCUAAAAUAAAAAGCUAUAUCUGAAGAGUUUCUCCUGGGGCACAAAGGGUCAUACACCACCAAAUAAUUUAUCGGUGGCUGACGCAAAAGACUUAUUUUCAAGCAACUGUAGUAGAGCACUUGAUUUUAUGUUGUCCAGUGCCUAUUACCAUCAGAUUUUCAUUCCCAGCUUUCAUUAAAGCCGUGCUUCU